rnacentral:rRNA from 1 species
GCUGGCGGCAGGCCUAACACAUGCAAGUCGAACGGAGUUAUAUUGUAGCUUGCUAUGGUAUAACUUAGUGGCAGACGGGUGAGUAAUGUAUAGGAAUCUACCUAGUAGUACGGAAUAAUUGUUGGAAACGGCAACUAAUACCGUAUACGCCCUACGGGGGAAAAAUUUAUUGCUAUUAGAUGAGCCUAUAUUAGAUUAGCUAGUUGGUGGAGUAAUAGCCUACCAAGGCAAUGAUCUAUAGCUGAUCUGAGAGGAUGAUCAGCCACACUGGAACUGAGAUACGGUCCAGACUCCUACGGGAGGCAGCAGUGGGGAAUAUUGGACAAUGGGCGAAAGCCUGAUCCAGCCAUGCCGCAUGAGUGAAGAAGGCCUUUGGGUUGUAAAGCUCUUUUAGUGAGGAAGAUAAUGACGGUACUCACAGAAGAAGUCCUGGCUAACUCCGUGCCAGCAGCCGCGGUAAUACGGAGAGGGCUAGCGUUAUUCGGAAUUAUUGGGCGUAAAGGGCGCGUAGGCGGAUUAGUAAGUUAAAAGUGAAAUCCCAAGGCUCAACCUUGGAAUUGCUUUUAAAACUGCUAAUCUAGAGAUUGAAAGAGGAUAGAGGAAUUCCUAGUGUAGAGGUGAAAUUCGUAAAUAUUAGGAGGAACACCAGUGGCGAAGGCGUCUAUCUGGUUCAAAUCUGACGCUGAGGCGCGAAGGCGUGGGGAGCAAACANGAUUAGAUACCCUGGUAGUCCACGCUGUAAACGAUGAAUGUUAAAUAUGGGAAGUUUUACUUUCUGUAUUACAGCUAACGCGUUAAACAUUCCGCCUGGGGACUACGGUCCCCAGAUUAAACUCAAAGGAAUUGACCGGGAACCGCACAAGCCGUGGAACCUGUGGUUUAAUUCCAUGCCACCCGAAAAACCUUACCACUCCUUGACAUGGAAUUUAUACCUUAUCCAAGGGAUAGGGUCGGUUCCUCCCGGGUUCCCACCGGUUUUACAAGCUUGUCUCCCCUCCUUGCCUGAGAAUUUGGGUUAAU